GAUGAACGCUGGCGGCGUGCCUAAUACAUGCAAGUCGAGCGAACGGACGAGAAGCUUGCUUUUCUGAUGUUAGCGGCGGACGGGUGAGUAACACGUGGAUAACCUACCUAUAAGACUGGGAUAACUUCGGGAAACCGGAGCUAAUACCGGAUAAUAUUUUGAACCGCAUGGUUCAAAAGUGAAAGACGGUCUUGCUGUCACUUAUAGAUGGAUCCGCGCUGCAUUAGCUAGUUGGUAAGGUAACGGCUUACCAAGGCAACGAUGCAUAGCCGACCUGAGAGGGUGAUCGGCCACACUGGAACUGAGACACGGUCCAGACUCCUACGGGAGGCAGCAGUAGGGAAUCUUCCGCAAUGGGCGAAAGCCUGACGGAGCAACGCCGCGUGAGUGAUGAAGGUCUUCGGAUCGUAAAACUCUGUUAUUAGGGAAGAACAUAUGUGUAAGUAACUGUACACAUCUUGACGGUACCUAAUCAGAAAGCCACGGCUAACUACGUG
rnacentral:rRNA from 1 species